rnacentral:piRNA from 1 species
GCCCCAAGACUAUUUUUCUUCCACUUAAGA